GACGAACGCUGGCGGCGUGCCUAAUACAUGCAAGUCGAACGCAGUGGGGACGGGUGAGUAACACGUGGGUAACCUCCCAUCAGAGGGGAUAACACUUGGAAACAGGUGCUAAACCGAUACUGAUGGAUGGACCCGGGGUGCAUUAGCUAGUUGGUGAGGUAACGGCCCACCAAGGCCACGAUGCAUAGCCGGCCUGAGAGGGUGAUCGGCCAAACUGGAACUGAGACACGGCCCAGACUCCUACGGGAGGCAGCAGUGGGGAAUCUUCGACAAUGGGCGAAAGCCUGACCGAGCAACGCCGCGGGAAUGAAGAAGGUUUUCGGAUCGUAAAACUCUGUUAUUGGGGAGGCGGUAUCUGACCAGAAAGCAACGGCUAACUACGUGCCAGCAGCCGCGGUAAUAC
rnacentral:rRNA from 1 species